ACCGCCACUUGCUCAAAAUGGCGUCGACGGAAGAGUGCUGUUGUCGGAAUGAAGGCCGAUAAAUCAAAGUUCCUCGCUUCGAACCUAAUUUGAAAAAUGCGCACACUGCGAGAGCCAGUGCCCGUGCCAGUGCCAGUGCCAGUGCCAGGGGCAGUGCCAGUGCUAGGGGCAGAGGCCCACUACGGAGGCAAGUGGCUGCCGCAGCGGCAUUUCAUCAGAGGGAAUUAAUCAGAGCAGAUGAAGCGACAACCGAAAAAUAACGACGCGGCAUCUCUUAAAGACCUCGCCUCGCCUUAUCUCCUCAAUCGCCAGAGCCACAGCCGGCUUUCAGUGCGUGUCCGUGCCUCUUCCACGACCCGUUUGGUUGCAGCCUCUCCUCGUACGUACUCCUCGUAUACAUACAUACAUAUAUUAUUGAAAACUGGCGCUUGGAGCGACAUCAGCGGAAUGUCAUUGAGAGAUGUACGAUGCUUGUACGGGAAUAAGGGAGCGGGAGCGGGAACGGGAAUGAGGGAAUGCAAACAUGUCCGGUCUGACGUUUAUGAAAAGCCAUCCCAUCGCAGCAUCAAAGCCAAUUAAGAUACUGGACUCCACUCCCAAUACAAGCUCUAAAAAGGAAUACGCGGCUAAUUUCUGCGACAAAGCCGACAAACGAUCCAGCGUCCAGUGUCCAGUGUCUCUGGAGUCGAGAAGCGGCACUUUUGUCGCAAACACACAGGCCGUAAAAUUAAGAACUCUGAUUGGUAACAAAUGUUUUUGUUCAUUCGAGUGAUAAAAACGUAGCGAACCGAAAAGAUAUAAAAUUCUCUUUAGUGUCUUCCCAGCCCAGAGAUGAUAAAAUAUUUAAAUGAGCCGAACGAACGAACGAAAGAACGAACGAACGCCGAACGCAAAGGUUCUCUCUCGGACAUUUAGGAAAUCAGAGACCCAGAAGAGACCUUAAUGGCCGCGCGCACGCACUCGGACUCGGACUUGGACUCGGAGACGGAGUUGGAUUCUCGAAUGUGAGCAGAGCGGCCUCCUCCCUGGAUAUGGAGGACAUCGACAACCGACAGCCGACAACAGACAACCGUACAGUGGGUACCACAGCGACGGCGACUAAGACCAAGGGCAAAGUGUGAAACACCGACUGGGCGUAACGCCAAUAGCGCUCGCUCGUCGAUAACCACUGUAUCCGAAGUAAGUCGGUCGGCUGUCAUGAUUAAAUAAAACUCCAAUGCAAACGGUCCGGCUAGGAUAUUAAAUUACAGCCAUAACGGCUUUGGGAUUGACUCCGAGAGUGGUGAGUGGAAGGAGUGACAGGGGCAGAGACAGAGGCAGAGGCAGAGACAAAGGUAAAGGCCAUACCGGCAGGACAAGCAACCCAAAAGGCUUGUCUUGCCAGCGUCUUUUGGGCCCAAGCCGCAGGGCCCAAGCCCAAUCCAAAUCCAAGUCCAGGCCAACAGGCACUGCGACAGAUACACAGAUACACAGAUACAGAGGAAGAGAAAGAGCCACGACAAAAUCAUAAAAGACAUAAACAGUUGUAAAGACCCAAACCACAAAGGGCGUAGAAUCAAAAUUGAGCACUAAAACGUUAUCGAGGUCGUCUCAGAUUAACUAGCCUUUUGCUGUGUCGAUGACAGGACCGACGACACACUGGAUGUGGCCGGCCGGUAAGGCCAGGCAGGCGGACAGAUAUGCGAGCGUAACGCGUCGGUGGGACCUGGGACCUGAAACCUGGACCACGCAGGGGCAGGGGCAGGGGUCUGGUCUGCAGACAAGAUGACCUGCCUGCCGUGUAAUCCGGACCUGUCCUGCCCUGUCCCGUUCUGUUCCCCCCGCUGGCUGGACGGUGCCUCGUCGACGACCCACAACAGUGCUAUUGUGCGACAAGUUUGUCAUUCACAACCGUCUCGCCGAUAAGAAACCAUUACGAGUGUACGAAAGAGGAAAGGACUCUGUACAGAGAGAUCUUUCACUGAAUGGCGCCAGUUUCACAAUGAAUUCUGAUUCUGGCCAAAUUAUGGGAAUAUUUUCAGCCAUUGAUUCGUAGCGGGGUAUGCUGGAAGACCUCCAUAGAUGAGAAAUGAUAUGAAAGCAAGGGCUUCUUGUUUUAGAGAUGGCUGUGACUUGAAAUCCCACUGACAUCCCAAAAAUAUGCUGAUUUAUUUAUUGUACGAAUACUAGCAAUUUUUCAGCUACGAAAGUGGCUCAAUUUUAUGGGAUAUUAGGUUAGCGUCACAUUUUUCUACCCCCAAUUGGAUUUUAUGAGACUCGCACAGGGCCAAGGCAUCGACGUUGAUUGCGGGGUGUAUCCAAGGAGGCACUCGUCCUAAUGCCUGGCCCUUUAAGGAACAUAAUUUCAUCCACGUGUCGGGGAUAACACAUUAACAUCGCUACUGUGUUCAUUUGGAGGGCGUGUCACUACAAGCGGCUGCUCUUAAUCUUCAUCCUUAGGAUAGGAAUCAAUUUAGUCAGGCAAUAAUUUCCUUCUCUCUGUAUACGAUACAUAUGUACGAGUAUGUACACUCGAAUGUAUUCUUAAAAUAAGUAAUGAUAUAGCCCUGUAGACGAUGAAUGUGUUGUCAAUUUGUAGCAUACAUAUAUGCAGAAUGUAUAAACCAUUAGAAAACGAUUAGACAAAAGAAAGUUGUGAUAUGUAAUUUCCAUAAGGGAAGUGUCAAAAAUUGACUAGCAGAAAAGUCAGGAUCGAGUGCGGAUCAAUCGGUUCUAUAUCGGUUCUAAAGGUUGUUAUGAAAUAAGUUAAGCGAACGAACAUAUUUAUUAAGAUCCAAUUGAAAAGGUCGUAGUUUACGCUGAGAAACAAGAGACGUUUUGUGUCAGAUUGUGUUCUCUUAUAUGUAUGUACAAAAAAACAUUGUGUCUGCGUCGAAGAAUGAGAGUUUGCUGGAACUAUGACCCAUCCCACUCUCUUCUCAUAUUUAAAUUCAAAUCGGCGCCGGCGCCACCUGUCAGUCCGUCGCUGUACUUUUGCACGAUCCGAUCCCCAUCGUGUACUUGCCUCACUUGCAUCCUGCCCCCUUUGCGACUCCUGAAGCUCUUCAGAAACGGGGAUCGCCAACGACGCGCAACUGCAGUGUGGCCCAAAGAAGAGAACGUUAAAAACAUUGUUCUCGUUAUACAGAAAUCAUGUCUGCUCCGCCCGGCCCGGCCCUUGGAGAUCGGUUCGGUCGUGGCCAGUACAAAAUGGCAAAAUGUACGAUCCGAUUGUGCAUGCGGGCCACACAGAAAUCAGGGUAGGGACAACGAAUGCUGGCGAUAAAAGUGCAGCAAAAGAUGUUUUCAUUGAGCAUUGAUACCAGGCUUCUAAUGACAUCUAUGCAGACCAGUCAGUCGGUUAUCUCUUUCCCCGCAGAGACUGUCCUAAACCGCAAUGACCCCGAUCGCCGCAGGAGCAUUGUCUGCUAGACUAUCGUCCCUGUCCAUUCAAACUACUUUCCAGAACAGGGACCAAAGACCAGAGACCAGAGACCAUAGGGACGAAGAGUAAAAACUAUACUCGUACGAGUAUACGAGCAUAAUCGUAUAAGGGGCCAAUGCCAAUGCGCCGACACCCCGCUGCGGUGUGAGCACACAGCCGCCUAUAAUUGAGUUAUACAUUCGUCUGGCUGGCCGACUGACCCCUGGUGGUGCCGGUACCUCUUCCCUCCUCCCUCUACCCUCUUUCCGAGGGUUCGCAGCAGCUUAGCGGACAAUGUUUUGACAUAAAUAAAUGCUUGAAUGACUUUAAGUGAUGGCAUUUUACGUUGACUUUCUAUACCCCAAAACAGUUUGGCAUGAUUUAUGGCGGACGAUCUGGCGAUCUGGCGACCUGGCGACUUCUUAGGAGAUUACUUUUGUAUACUAUCCAUACGAGGAGUAUGGAUUGUGCCUGUGGCAGACGGGGGAUGCGGAUGCUCCUGAUGCUAAUUCGUGGUUCAGGUAGUAAGCGGAACACAAUAUUUUUCCCAUCCGCUGCCAUUUAUCGGUCCGCUUUCGGACAGGAUACUAUGUCUUAUUAUAACGCAGAUGAUACUGUUACUUCACAUCAACAAUAGUAUUGUAUGUUCUAUUGUUAUAGUAAUUAAUUACUGGUAUUAUUCAAUUAUAAAACCAAAAAGCUAGCAAUUCAGGUUUAACCUAUUUAAAAAGGUUGUUCAUUUGUUAUCACCAAACUUUUCUGAUGAUUUUUCAAAUAUAAAACCACAUAUGUGCUAUCUAAAAGAGGAUCAGGAUAAUAUAACUUGCUUAUUCAAAGAUCAAAUCAAAGGAUUAAUUUUAAAUUUGUGUAAAUAAUUAAAAAGGGCGAAAGCAACAACAAAAUUCGUAUAUCUCUUAAGCAGAAUAACAAUAAUAAUAGAUUAUUACAGCAAUCAAUUACAACAGUGCAACCCCGAAUGCAACAAAAUGACCAUGUAACGUAUCGCGUAAAAAUUACAUGUGCUAGUGGCGCACCGCACUCAGCGGUCAUUAAUGGAACUUCAAUGAUCGAAAACGUCGGACAACGUUGCAUACUUUUUGGCGGACCCCAGACGUUACCCAACACUGCCAACAAGAUCAAUUUACAAAACAAAACAAACCAAUGCAACACCAACAGAAAAAGUUUAUAACAGUGUUGAAAUUACAACCGUUUGAUUUGAUCAAUUUUUAGAAUUUAUAUCUAAAUAUUUAAGUCGAAAAGCAACCUUCUAUAGUCCCAUAAUUUUCUUGGUCAUACAUCUGUGGGUUCGUGAAGUUCAAAGAGACACUCCGU